rnacentral:misc_RNA from 1 species
UACGUAGGGGGCAAGCGUUGUCCGGAAUGAUUGGGCGUAAAGGGCGCGUAGGCGGCUCGGUAAGUCUGGAGUGAAAGUCCUGCUUUCAAGGUGGGAAUUGCUUGGAUACUGUCGAGCUUGAGUGCAGGAGAGGUAAGUGGAAUUCCCAGUGUAGCGGUGAAAUGCGUAGAGAUUGGGAGGAACACCAGUGGCGAAGGCGACUUACUGGACUGUAACUGACGCUGAGGCGCGAAAGUGUGGGGAGCAAACAGG